rnacentral:rRNA from 1 species
AUUGAACGCUGGCGGCAGGCCUAACACAUGCAAGUCGAACGGUAACAGGAAGAAGCUUGCUUCUUUGCUGACGAGUGGCGGACGGGUGAGUAAUGUCUGGGAAACUGCCUGAUGGAGGGGGAUAACUACUGGAAACGGUAGCUAAUACCGCAUAACGUCGCAAGACCAAAGAGGGGGACCUUCGGGCCUCUUGCCGUCGGAUGUGCCCAGAUGGGAUUAGCUUGUUGGUGGGGUAACGGCUCACCAAGGCGACGAUCCCUAGCUGGUCUGAGAGGAUGACCAGCCACACUGGAACUGAGACACGGUCCAGACUCCUACGGGAGGCAGCAGUGGGGAAUAUUGCACAAUGGGCGCAAGCCUGAUGCAGCCAUGCCGCGUGUAUGAAGAAGGCCUUCGGGUUGUAAAGUACUUUCAGCGGGGAGGAAGGGAGUAAAGUUAAUACCUUGGCUCAUUGACGUUACCCGCAGAAGAAGCACCGGCUAACUCCGUG